ACAUCAAGAGCAACAACCACUUCAACGACACAUGCGGAAAGUACACUAUGUCCGGCUUUUUGGUCCAGGAGAGAUAACUCUUGUUAUUACUUCAGCCCCGUAACGCAGAGCUGGGGCGCAGCUAAGACACACUGCAACUCCCGUGGGGCUGAUCUCGUUAAAAUUGAUGACAAGGCGGAACAG